rnacentral:sRNA from 1 species
UGUCGUAUGUACACCAACAUCAUUCUAUAUUUUGUAUGUUCUUUUUGUUCCCUUGAAUAGUUGAAGAUGGCUGACUGUUUGGCAUUUAACACAAUGAACAAUAGUAAUAUAAGGUUCUUUGAGUUUAUGUACCAUACACAUUGUGCUAAAUCUGAUAGUUGAUCAAAUGAAUAACAAUAAAAACUGCCUUAUCAAAACCUUUUUAAACAUGCAAUGUAAUGUUGUGUUGUAGCUAUAGAUUUUGUUCUAUUUCCUCUGCAGCUCUGUUGCUUUUUUAAAGUUACAACAGCAUGAUCAGUAAAUGUUGCUUCACACCAAGUAUGUCCUUAAACUUUUGUUCUAUAGACUCCUCGAUUUUUCUUUCUUUUUGAGUGUACGCCUGCAAUGACUAUCAGAUUUUUUUUAAGUGGAAAAAAUACUUUUGUACAUGUAUAUCAUUGAAUAUUUUGUUGCAUCAAUUAUUAUACCAUAGAAAAUAUACUGAACAAGAAAGUUUUGUCAAAUCAAAUGUUGAUUGUUUGUAAAAAUCUUUGUUGAUAUUAGAUUGUUAAACUGAUGCAUGUAUUCCACAAUAUUGUCAGGGUUGUAAUGCCAUGAAUGCAAGUGUUAAUAAAUUGUUACAUUUUGUACAUAACAGU